rnacentral:rRNA from 1 species
CACGUAGGGUGCGAGCGUUGUCCGGAAUUAUUGGGCGUAAAGAGCUCGUAGGCGGUGUGUCGCGUCGGCCGUGAAAACCUGCAGCUUAACUGUGGGCUUGCGGUCGAUACGGGCAUCACUGGAGUUCGGCAGGGGAGACUGGAAUUCCUGGUGUAGCGGUGAAAUGCGCAGAUAUCAGGAGGAACACCGGUGGCGAAGGCGGGUCUCUGGGCCGUAACUGGACGCUGAGGAGCGAAAGCAUGGGGAGCGAACAGG